AUUUAUAUAGUUUAUAAAAACAUUUCAUUUUCAAUGAAAAAAUAAGUUAAAGC
rnacentral:tRNA from 1 species